GCAUCCACCGCUCUACACGGGUCUUCUGGGAAGCCACAUUUGUAGACUUUUCUUGGAUGUAUAGGCUGAGCUUGGCAAUUGUUACCCCUCAUGGAAACACAGAAUUCCCACGAGCCUCGUCUAUGAAUCUCAAGUUGGAUUUUGCUUUUUUUUUGUGGAUUUAUCAAUUUCUGGUGGUCCAAUUCUGGAUUUAUUCAUUAGAAAUGGGAUAUAAUUACAGUAACGGAGGCCAGGAAUCCCGUUGGAGAGGACGUGACCAAGGAUCCUACGAAGCAGAGGUCACCAUGUCCCAGAUGUCUAUCCUGCAUGGACCCUUACGGGCGGCGUUGUUAACGGUUCAUCACCAAGCCUUCUUCAACUCUUGGUCUAGUGGUGGUGAUGACGUCACAUGAACAUGUUUCCAGCCAAUCACAGCAGGAGCAUGUCGUAAAAGCAGAUGGAAUACCACAAAAACUUGUGUCCGGAGAGACGUAAAGAAGAGAAUGAUACUUUUUUCUAAACCGCGGUCAUUCAGGACGUGAAGAACUUGUGUGGAUAUGAAAUAUCGAAUUCUUCAUAAAGUUUGUUCUUUUCAAGGCCAAGGAGUUUCUAGAAAAGUGUCCAAGGAAGGUCAGCAGUUCGUCGCUGGACACAGAUUCCAACUUGUUUUCGACACCCCAGGACCUGCGGAGCCCCCGCUGUAACAUAAAUGGCUGCCAUCGAGAGAACCAAAGCUUCACGAGGAUGAUGGGAUUGUAUUAUUUACUUUCUUCAACAAACACUGAAGGCCAGAAGUCUAAGCGUUUAACCCACCCUGUGAAUUCUGCCGGAAUACAGAAAGAACGGAGUCUGAUUGGUGAAAUGCGUCAGAUACCCUUCCUGUGGAAUAAA